AUGGCUGCCUCUGCGUUGAGAUCGCCGGCCAUCCACGCGGUGCGCUCCGCCUCCGCCAUCGUGUGCAAGGAAGCGAGCGACUCCCACGUACUCAGGAUCGACGGCUACUCGCGCCUCAAGCACAUUUUUUUUGGGGAGUACAUCUGCUCGGGCGACUUCCACGCCGGCGGCCACAUCUGGCGUCUCCUGUAUUACACCAACGGCAGCCAGCCCCAGUUCCGAGAUCACAUCGCCGUGUACCUCCAGCUAGCAUCCAGAGAUCCCACCGACGAGCAGGUGCUGGCACGACCACGGUUCAGCCUACUCGAUCAGCUUGGGAACCCGGCGUUGCCGCAUGACUGUGGGAUGCAUCGCUUCUCGUAC
rnacentral:rRNA from 1 species